CAGAGGGGGCAAGCGUUGUUCGGAAUUACUGGGCGUAAAGGGCGCGUAGGCGGCCUUCUAAGUCGAACGUGAAAUCCCCGGGCUCAACCCGGGAACUGCGUCCGAGACUGGAAGGCUUGAAUCCGGGAGAGGGAUGUGGAAUUCCAGGUGUAGCGGUGAAAUGCGUAGAUAUCUGGAGGAACAUCGGUGGCGAAGGCGGCAUCCUGGACCGGUAUUGACGCUGAGGCGCGAAAGCCAGGGGAGCAAACGGGAUUAGAUACCCCGGUAGUCCUGGCCCUAAACGAUGAAUGCUUGGUGUGGCGGGUAUCGAUCCCUGCCGUGCCGAAGCUAACGCAUUAAGCAUUCCGCCUGGGGAGUACGGUCGCAAGGCUGA
rnacentral:rRNA from 1 species